GUGAGGAAUAUUGCGCAAUGGAGGCAACUCUGACGCAGCCAUGCCGCGUGCAGGAAGAAGGCGCUACGCGUUGUAAACUGCUUUUAACCGGGAAGAAACCCCAGGACGUGUCCUGGGUUGACGGUACCGGAGGAAUAAGCACCGGCUAACUUCGUGCCAGCAGCCGCGGUAAUACGAAGGGUGCAAGCGUUAUCCGGAUUCAUUGGGUUUAAAGGGUGCGUAGGCGGAGCGUUAAGUCAGUGGUGAAAUCCUGCAGCUUAACUGUGGACUUGCCAUUGAUACUGGCGCUCUUGAGUGCGCUUGAAGUGGGCGGAAUGUGCCGUGUAGCGGUGAAAUGCUUAGAUAUGGCACAGAACACCAAUUGCGAAGGCAGCUCACUAAGGCGAUACUGACGCUGAGGCACGAAAGCGUGGGGAUCGAACAGGAUUAGAUACCCGAGUAGUCC
rnacentral:rRNA from 1 species